AGUACGAGCUCGUGUCCAUGAGCCGGAACGGCGGCGACCACCGGCGGCCGGAGCACCUCGCCAGAAACUCCUUCAGUGAGAUCCCGGUGCUGGAGGACGGCGAUCUCAUGCUUUACCGUAAGCCUUCACUAGAUCAUGGAUGGCGCGCGUUGCCGCACCCGUCCAUUUUAAAUGUUGUUUGAUAGUGUUAGAAAAUUAUGUAGAACAUGGGGUUCCUAAUUAUUUUGAAAUGGAAGUGCAAAAUAAAAGUUCCAUCGAGUCUCCUUUGGCAUGAUCAUGGCAUGGACCCCAGUAUAAACCUUAGUGGCGGACAUUUUCUCAUUCAUCUAUCCAAUAGAAUGGUAUGACUUUAUCUUCACAAUUAAAUGGACCAAAAAGCAAAAUUAAAUCCACGUCAUAGUCACAGGAAGACAACUUCAUGGCAUUGCCCUUGGCAGAUUUGUGAUGAAAAUAUGUAGUUUUGCAUGCAGAUUUGUGAUGAAAAUAUAUAGAACGUCUAUUUAGGACCCUGGGUGAAGAAUAAGUAAUUCUUCACCCCAGUCGAACGAUCGAGCCAGAAUACUGGGAUUCUCUCGAAUCGCACCCCACGAUGACCAGAAUUGUCCCUCCUCGAGGUAACUUUACGUUGGUCUUCGCUCACGAUUGUUUUUUCUUUUAUUUUCCUCGAGGUAAAAUUACCUUGGCAUCGAGGUAAUUUUAUUUGCUAACCGUUUAGGAGCUAGCAAACCUCAGGUUGCGUUAUCUGCUAAUCGGAUCCGACUGGUUCCAAGCAGUACUCCAUAUUUCCCUCUCUCACGCGAUAGAGACCAAGAGGCAAAGUGGGAAUUGCACCGAUGCGGCGCGAGAUCCGCGGCGACAACGUCCUUCUCCGGCGUCCCUCUCCACCGCCAUUGGUUUUCUCGCCAGAGCGGGGCAAAUGAAGAGGAAGGAGACCAAGAAAGAAUACCGGGUUGCCCAAGAAGCUGCUCCUCGCGUUGACGCGGCACAAUGGGAAGAGGUGGAACUCCCGUUGGCGACGUCCUCGUUGAUCUCAAGUGCAAAAUUUUGGGUUCGGCCAGAACAAGAGCCAUCAUUCUGUCGUACAGAAAAAAGAUCCCUCAUACUGUACGUGUUUCAUCCUCACUUCCUCUGGUCAGUAGCGAGCUAAAUUAAUCUUUCAUCAGGGUAAAAGAAGCAGAGUGGUAAUCGGUUGUCCAUCAGAAAAAACCUCGCACCACAAAUGCUAGAUCAUUAGGAGCAGUAGCCGAAGGAGAUUCAACAAUUUCCUCACCCUCUAUUUUUUUUCUAAAAAAAUGCCUGCAUCAUCUGUUGUUUCCCCUAUGCUACUAAAUGAAAGAUUCACAACGCAUCAAAAUUUUGAUCAAUUAAUCGAUGGAGUGCUCAGUACUGGGGGUGGACAUCAAAAUUUCAAUCAAUCAACUUGAGCAUUUGCACUAAUCAGAAAUAUGACACAGUGUACUGAACAUAACUAACCAAAACCAAGGAAGGGUCCAGGGCGAUAGCGUUGUGCAUGGCGUGCUGGCAUGUACUGACGGCAUAGGCGAGACACUGCGGAUCCAACUUCUGAGAAGCAGGGAAGAAGGAGGAGCCUCGGGCGUGGGCGUGCACUGUGCUGGUGUGGGCAGGCAGAUUGGGUGUGCCUCGUGCGGCCACUCCCGACCGCCGGCUAUGAGCCGUGAAGAGGUUACCAGGGGAUUGAGCUCUUGAGGAGGAGGUCAGGACUCAGGGUAAGCUAUCUGGUCGACGGAGGCCGAUGCGGAUGCUAGAGGCGACGGACUCACAGACGAGGAGGUUGUGAUUUCUCAAUCGCGUGAUCGACAGAUAUGUGCUGCACAUGGGCUCUAUCUGCUGAUUGGCUGUGCUUGAGUGACGAAAAUACCAAGUAAAAAUUUGUUUUCACAAUCAAAAGGGGGAGGGGGGAGGGUCGUGGCCGCGUUUGGUCUCCACGAUGCUCCGCCAGUGCAAUAGAAGCACUACCUCUGUACAAUGCAGUCACUGCAUCACGUUGCAUUGAUGUGUUUUUUCUUAUUGAUAACUUGAUUUGGUUAAUUUGUGCAUGACUAUUUGUUUGUUUUUCUUUCACACGUCAGUGUUUGUGCCACGGCUUGUUAGAUAACCAUUUCCACACUUAUGUAACUAGAUAAUGGAGAGCUACCAGCUUGUACUGCUCUGCUAUGACUACUUUUCUGCUACCUUUCACUGUCACAUCAUCAAACAUAUGGACCAAACAAAUUCAUGUAUCAAAAGAAGAAAACAAAUACAUUUCCCCGAAAGUUAAACAUUUCAUCAGACUUUACGCGAAUAUUGUACAUAUUGUUCUAUCCCGGAGGGCGUUAUGAUUUGAAAUGGCGAAUGCCCACUGCAGUAAUGAAUUUGAUUCUCGAAUGCUAAUUCAAUUUUGUUUGCACUUCUGCCGAUUUAAAGCAUUCACUCAAACUUAUUUUAAAUCUUUUCUCAAUUCUGUAGUUCAUAUAUCACUGAGGCUGUAAUAAUUUUUGUGUGAAUAACUCACUUUAACAGUAACUAGUUCCAAAAUAUUUCCAAAAUGCUAUGCAUGAAGAGAAAAUGGUGUACUGACAAGAACCUACCAAGCCCCCAAUGUGAUUUCUGUUGUAGUUAAUGGUAUACUAACAAGCACGUAGGAUGGCCUAUUUUUUUACUUGAGUCACUAAUAUAAUUUCAGCUCUAGUUGGUAUUUGGAAAUGGGUAUGCGUGGAAGCAAAGAACUAUGACUGCCAUUCUAUCCUUCUGCUAGUUAUUGAAUUUUACAGUUUGUUUCUUCUUCUAGGCGGCCGAUAUGUUUUUCAGUUUAAGCUCAGCAAAUGGAGUAGUGAUAUGGUCCUUGUGCAUGUGAUUUACUAGAUUGUCAGCAACGAUUCAGAGGUUACUAAAUUUACAUGGAGUAGUGAGAAAGUCUAUUAAUAACCCAGGGCGAAGAGUUCUUCACCCUGGUCGAUCGACUGACUCAGACUAUCGUUUUGCGUUUGAGGUAAAGAGGCCACCGAUUCCACGUUGUAAAAUUACAUCGGGUUGGAAGUAAUUACGUUUAUCGUUGAGUCGAAUCUGCCCCCACUUACCCAUCUUUUUUCUGAGUUGUCCCUUCGAACGGUUUGUGAGUAUCGGCGGCGAUGCACACGCAGGAGACGGCGGUGUGGUUCUCAUUGUUUUGGCUCGGACCGAAUUAAUCGAUUGGCUGGCUGGCGGGGCGGCGUGCUCUCGGCAGCGUUGUUGCUGGGCCGCUGGGACAGAGUAUUCUGUGGCGUCUGCCUAGGUCUUGGGCGGCGUCCUGCGGGGUCGUCGCGGUGGAGCCGUGAUGGGUGAUCGUGGCGGCGCUGCAGUGUGUGGCCGAGCUUGCGCUGCUUCAUGACGGCAUUCUGUAAUGUUUAGAUUGAAGUUUGGUUGGGUGCGAGUGCACGGGAUGAGGUGCGUGUGUUGUGUCACUUUCCUGGGCUAUUAGUUGUGUUUUGCCACAUGAGGAGUUCUGCAGCGGCUUUUGCACUUGGAACACGACAUCGUUCUGAACUUCUAAUGCCCCCAAAUGCACCAGCAACACAGCAGGAAGAAUGUCGACGGCGAGAUGAGCAACAUCUGGCAGAUUGCCGACAGAGGCCACGGAAGGUGGCUGGAACCCCAUUGUGGCCCCGAAAUCAACCAACAACGGGCAAACAGAGAGGAGGUGACUCACGGACGUAGCGGGGCGUGGCAGAGUGGGCUACUAUUCCACACUCUAAAAUUGAGGUUCAGAGGAAUGAAAAGAGUGAUUUUGUUCCUGAAUCAUGCUUCACAUUUCUUUAGCAAACAAGCACUAGCAGCCCCGUUUUGGACGUGCUUCUUGUAGGUUCAUGUAGACAUGCCAAUGAAGGCCUGGUAAAGGAAAAUAGAAAAAAAAUACAGUAUAUUGGUUUAAUUUUCUCUUGUGUAGACCAAAAUUAGCAAGUAAAGGAAAUUUGAUUUUGCUUCCAAAUU